rnacentral:rRNA from 1 species
UACGUAGGGGGCCAGCGUUGUCCGGAAUCAUUGGGCGUAAAGCGCGUGUAGGCGGCCCGAUAAGUCCGCUGUGAAAGUCCAGGGCUCAACCCUGGGAUGCCGGUGGAUACUGUCGGGCUCGAGUCCGGAAGAGGCGAGUGGAAUUCCUGGUGUAGCGGUGAAAUGCGCAGAUAUCAGGAGGAACACCAAUGGCGAAGGCAGCUCGCUGGGACGUGACUGACGCUGAGACGCGAAAGCGUGGGGAGCAAACAGG